rfam:Aedes albopictus isolate Foshan contig122415, whole genome shotgun sequence.
UGUUCUGUGGCUUUGUUGAUUAAAGCGCCGAUCUAGCAAAUACGGAGUAGUGGGAUAGAAUCCCACUAGAACGC